AGUGAACGCUGGCGGUAGGCCUAACACAUGCAAGUCGAACGGCAGCACAGUAAGAGCUUGCUCUUACGGGUGGCGAGUGGCGGACGGGUGAGGAAUACAUCGGAAUCUACUUUUUCGUGGGGGAUAACGUAGGGAAACUUACGCUAAUACCGCAUACGACCUACGGGUGAAAGCAGGGGAUCUUCGGACCUUGCGCGAUUGAAUGAGCCGAUGUCGGAUUAGCUAGUUGGCGGGGUAAAGGCCCACCAAGGCGACGAUCCGUAGCUGGUCUGAGAGGAUGAUCGGCCACACUGAAACUGGGACACGGUCCAGACUCCAACGGGAGGAAGAAGGGGGAAUUUUGGGAAAAGGGCGCAAGCCUGAUCCAGCCAUACCGCGUGGGUGAAGAAGGCCUUCGGGUUGUAAAGCCCUUUUGUUGGGAAAGAAAAGCAGCAGGUUAAUACCCCGCUGUUCUGACGGUACCCAAAGAAUAAGCACCGGCUAACUUCGUG
rnacentral:rRNA from 1 species